GUGGCGCCGCCGCGGUAAUACCGGCGGCCCGAGUGGUGGCCGCUAUUAUUGGGCCUAAAGCGUCCGUAGCCGGGCCCGUAAGUCCCUGGCGAAAUCCCACGGCUCAACCGUGGGGCUUGCUGGGGAUACUGCGGGCCUUGGGACCGGGAGAGGCGGGGGGUACCCUGGGGUAGGGGUGAAAUCCUAUAAUCCCAGGGGGACCCGCCAGUGCGAAGGCGCCCCGCUGGAACGGGUCCGACGGUGAGGGACGAAGGCCAGGGGAGCAAACCGGAUUAGAUACCNGGGUAGUCC
rnacentral:rRNA from 1 species